rnacentral:rRNA from 1 species
AUUGAACGCUGGCGGCAGGCCUAACACAUGCAAGUCGAGCGAGCGGCGGACGGGUGAGUAAUGUAUGGGGACUGCCCGAUAGAGGGGGAUAACUACUGGAAACGGUGGCUAAUACCGCAUACUAUCGGAUAACCCAUAUGGGAUUCGCUAGUAGGUGGGGUCAAGGCUCACCUAGGCGACGCUCUCUAGCUGGUCUGAGAGGAUGAUCGUGCACACUGGUACUGAGAGACGGCCCAGACUCCUACGGAGGCAGCAGUGGGGAAUAUUGACCAAUGGGCGCAAGCCUGAUGCAGCCAUGCCGCGUGUAUGAAGAAGGCCUUAGGGUUGUAAAGUACUUUCAGUGGGGAGGCGUUACCCGCAGAAGAAGCACCGGCUAACUCCGUGCCAGCAGCCGCGGUAAUUC